rnacentral:rRNA from 1 species
AGAACGAACGCUGGCGGCAGGCUUAACACAUGCAAGUCGAACGCUCCGCAAGGAGAGUGGCAGACGGGUGAGUAACGCGUGGGAACCUUCCUUUUGGUUCGGAAUAGCUCAGGGAAACUUGGGGUAAUACCGGAUAAAGCCCUACGGGGGAAAGAUUUAUCGCCAAUAGAUGGGCCCGCGUCUGAUUAGCUAGUUGGUGAGGUAAUGGCUCACCAAGGCGACGAUCAGUAGCUGGUUUGAGAGAAUGACCAGCCACACUGGGACUGAGACACGGCCCAGACUCCUACGGGAGGCAGCAGUGGGGAAUCUUGGACAAUGGGCGCAAGCCUGAUCCAGCCAUGCCGCGUGAGUGACGAAGGCCUUCGGGUUGUAAAGCUCUUUUAGCAGGGAAGAUAAUGACGGUACCUGCAGAAUAAGCCCGGCUAACUUCGCGCCAGCAGCCGC